UGUAUACUCCCUUCGCCUAGAAUUACUUGUCACAUAAAUGGAUGUAUCUAGACGAAUUUUUAGUUCUAGAUCCAUUAAUUUCUAUCCAUUUUUGCGUCAAGUAAUUUAGGACCGAGGGAGUAUAUG
rfam:Triticum aestivum genome assembly, contig: Triticum_aestivum_CS42_TGACv1_scaffold_113370_2AS